rfam:Triticum urartu cultivar G1812 contig749404, whole genome shotgun sequence.
UUGUUACUCCCUCUAUCCAGAAAUACUUGUCAUUAAAAAAUAGACAAAAAGGGAUGUAUCUAGACGUAUUUUAGUUCUAGUUUUCUAGAUAAAUCUCUUUUUAUCCAUUUUGAUGACAAGUAUUUUCGAACGGAGGGAGUAUCUU